CUAAUACCCAGUGGAGUGCAUUAACUCUUAUGAUUGCUUAAAUUGAUUUUACUGUUUUAUCAGUUACUAUUGAACAAAUGAAAGGAUGCUGAUGAAGCAGUGUACUGUAGGCUUGUCUGCAAAGUUUCUCUUGGAGUCAUCUCCAUAUGAAUGAUUUCAUACAGCACAGAAAUAGUUUUAUGUAGAUAUUGACCUUGGAAAGAAACAAAACCAUGGCUUGGUAUUGAGGUUAGGUACAUGGAUCACGAAUUGCCCUGCAAAGAGAAGGCUCUAAUGAGGGUGUCACCAGCCUGCGUCCUCCAUGUUGGUGUGUGGUGGCCACGGCCGGCUGGCAGGUGCUGCGGAGCUGCACCCUCCCCUCCUCAGCAGGUCGGGCAGAAACCAAAGUGGAAAAGUCUGUGGUAGAGAGGAAGCCAGGAAGAUGGCUUAGCAGUUACUGGCAUGUGCAGAUAGACUCAGCUUGGGGACAAUUAGUUUAUUGCCAAUUAAAACCAGAUUGGCCCAGUCAUGGCCUGAGGUGGGGCUGUUGGCACCUGCUGUGACAGGUCUGGGGCAGCUGCGGCCUGUCCUCACAGCACCCUGCAGGCCGCAGUGCGUCAGCACCCCAAAUACUGUGGUGAAACAGGAUUUGAGGUUCCAAUUAAAACCGUGUUUGGGCCAUUGCUUUGCCUGCCAGUGCUUAAUCUUCUCCGAAAGCCUCAUCACUUAUCUAAAACAAAAGAAGAACGAGAUGGACAGAAAUUUAAAAGAGAGAGACAGAAAAGGGACCUCCUGUUCAUUCUGAGAGCUGCAGUCUAAAGCCACUUCUCCUAUACACGAUGCUCCAUGAAAGGAUCGUAAUGAUUGCAGUCAUUAGCAACACACUGUUGAGUGCAUGCUCUAAUUUUGAUGAAAUUGAUACUGCAUGACCUGAAUGAGAAAAGUGACAUUUAAUUCAGGUGCACUUGAAAAGAUAAAUUAUUUAACUCCUUAGAGUUCUUAGCAGAGGGAUGCUCAUAACUCACUAGAUGAUCCUUCAAAGAAGCGGCAAAAAUAUUUCUGUUUUGUUGUUUUUGUUUUGUUUUGUUUUGUUUUCCCAUCAUCUUUGAUCCUUUAGCGUAAGAGAUGUGUUAACUAUAAGUGAAUGAGCUAUGUUUUAUGAAAGUCAGUAUUUUAGAAAGCAGAAUGGUAAACAGUGCUAUCAUAAAGAAUUUUGUUACUGACUUAUGAAAACAGCACAGUAUUCAGUUAGCAAGGGGCUAAUGCUGUUGAGAUUAAAUCAAUCUUUGUUAUAGUUGCAAGGAAAAAUGAUGGUAAUAAAUCUGAAUGUGCAGGAGUGAUAUUUACUAUG
rnacentral:lncRNA from 1 species